AAGACUAUGCUUUCAGGGGGUCAUUUCUCUAGUUGGUGAUUGGAGAAGGGUGUCUGUAAAAGCCUGGUCUUGCUAACCACGAUGAGGAGCUGUAGUGUUUCUUUCUGAGCAUGAGUGUGGUAGAAAGUGCUGUUCUGUGACAGCUACUUUCUGCUGUGGAAGAGUGUCUUGCUUUUCCUCAGAAGAGCAGGAGAAGGGAGCUCAGUCUGAGUGGU
rfam:Chelonia mydas contig159529, whole genome shotgun sequence.